GCUAACUUCAUUUUUAUUUAUCAAACUGAAAAAUUCACAAAUAAUAAAAUUCAAUGCGCACUCAACACGUGCCGCCUAACAUAGAACUAGAGCCAGAAAGCCGUUGGAAUUGCAGGGCUGCAAUUUAACAGAGCUCUGUUAUGUUAAGUACUGUGGCGGUAGAUCGAUAAAUUGCUCUUUUCAUUUGGCGGCAAUUGAGAUCGAAUUUCAAAUUUUAAUUUCUUUGAUGUACUUAUCUUUUGAUCAACGGAUAAUGGAAUUGUCAGCAAGAUCCAUGAUAAGUUGCGCGGCAAUUAAUCAGUUCAUAACGUGGAUUAAACGAUGCAAUGAUUAGAGGGGCGUUAACUAAAAAAGAAAAAAAAACAAUCUCUACUAUCAUUUCUCGGUUGCAGCUACGCCUGCAAACGUGGGCCACACAUCUGGCUGGCUUAACUUGUUGCCAACUGCCGUUACAAGCUACAACUCUUUGUUGUUGUCACACAAAGACUGAAAUCGAGAGUAAGGCUUAAGUGGAGCAGGGGCUGUUUGCCUUGAUCGCCGGCACUUGCAAUUAUUAAUAGAAAAAUUCACGUAAUGUUGAACGAACGACAAAAAUAAAAAAACAACUGGA